GCCAUAGCUCAGUGGCAGAACACAUGCUUUGUAUGCAGAAGGUCUCAGGUUCAACUUCUGACAUCUCCA